rfam:Gossypium hirsutum cultivar TM-1 chromosome 25, whole genome shotgun sequence
UGUUAAAAUUUGUAUCUAUUUAUACGGUUAAAAAUUGGUGUGGUUGUUAGAAUAACCAAAUAAUGAUAUGUGAUGUGCCAUGCGUACCUUAUGCUAUUGUACAUAGAUCAAUUUAUAACAGUAGAAAUGGAUAAAAUUUUUAACA